GAAGGCUACAAGAAGACAGCAAAACGUUGUCAGCUUGCAGUUUCCACAGUGAGUAGUGUAAUUAAGAGAUGGCAGUUCAGGGAAACUGUGGAGGUCAAGAUGACCAAGACAACUCUUGGAGAGAACUGCUCACAUGCUGGUCAGAAAGAAAAAUCAAAAUCUCCAUUUGACUGCAAAAAAACUGCAGGAACAUUUAGCAGACUCAGGAGUGGUGGUGCACUGUUCCACAAGACCUUCAUGAAAGAGUCAGCAGAAGAAAACCUUAUCUGCAUCCCCAUCAUAAAAUCCAACGUCAGAAGUAUGCAACAGAACAUCUACAGAAGCCUGAUGCGUUUUGGAAACAAGUGCUGUGGACUGAUUAAGUUAAAAUAGAACUCUUUGGCCACAAUCAGCAAUGGCAUGUUUGGAGAAAAAAAGGAGCAACAUUUCAUGAAAACAACACCUUGCCAACUAUCAAGCAUGGAGGUGGAUCUAUCAUGCUUUGGGGUUGUGUUGCAGCCAGUGGCACAGGAAACAUUGCACGGGUGGAGGGAAGAAUGGAUUCCACUAAAUACCAGCAAACAUCUGGAAGCAAACAUCACACCAUCUGUAAAAAAGCUGAAGCUGAAAAGAGGAUGGCUUCUACAACAGGACAAUGACCCUAAAAAUACCUCGAAAUCCACCAUGGACUACCUCAAGAGACACAAGCUGAAGGUCUUGGAAUGGCCAUCACAGGGAGACAAUGCCAGUUGGCAGACCGUGCAGCUUAAAAACAUGAUCAACUAACAGCUGGGCAGUUUCCUUAGUCAAGGGGAGCUUAGGAAUAGGAAUUAAAUGGACUGCCUUGGAAAAUUGAUCGACAACAGUAUGGACCCCCAUGUUCCUGUUGGACAAUGGAAGUCCAGUCACAAAAUCUAAAGCCAUAUGUGACCAGGGCCUGCGAAGAAUGGGUAGAGGGCGCAAUAGACCAGCUGGGGGCUGGGACGGGGUCUUGUUACGUGCGUAGACUGGGCAAGCUGUGAUAUAGCUCUGAACAUCCUGAAGCGUACAUGGCCACCAGAAGCAUUGCUUUUAAGAGGGCCGUAGUUCCUCGGACCCCUGGGUGGCAUGCUAGGAGGGAAGAGUGCCCCCACUGGGGUGUUCGAGUACGCAGAAACUUUGGGAUGUAGAGUUAUUUGGGGGGCCCCCUGCAAGAAGACGUAAGAAGUGCAGUACCACCUGGAUCGCUUCCUCAAUCCCCCAGGAUACAGCCCCAACAAAGCAGCUGGGUGGCAGAAUGGGGCUAUGGUAAUCCGUGGGGUCAUCUCCCCCAAACUGCCGUGACAGCGCAUCAGGUUUAUGGUUCUUCACUCCGGGCCUAAGAGAAAACAAGAAAUUGAAGCUGGCAAAAAAUAGCAACCACCUAGCUUGGUGGGCAUUAAGGCGUUUAGCAGACUGUAAAUAUUCAAGGUUCUUAUGAUCUGUUAAGACCAGAAAUGGU